CCAAACCAACAAUAACAAAAACUACUACAUCACUAGCAAUCACAAGAUGCAUUAAACCAGUGUUCUCCACAACUCCACGGUUUAAGCAACAAACAUAAAUAACAGAACAAGUUAUAUAACCUGUCACACAUAGAAGCAACCAACAGAAAAGUUGAUGACAAGUUUUAGGCAGAGGUUUUGUUAGAGAAUUGACAAGUUGAUCGGUGGUGCUAAGUGCUAACACAUUGAACUUUGAGUUCUCCUUGUUAUGCUAGAUCUCAAACACAGUUCUUUAGCCAUAAAAGUUCAUUGUCCAUCACACAUAAAAUUUGACUCUAAAUAUUUUUUAUUUUGACCAAUAAUUAUUAUAACUAGAAUUUAAACUCGAAUUCUUCUGAAUAAUUUGUAUUUAAUUUGAGUCCUUUAAUCAUUUGAAUUUAAUUUCAUCGAUCAUUAAUAUGUUCAAUACAAUGUAGUACAUCAAUCAUCAACUUUCAACUCAAUAUAAUUAUUUCAUAAUGUAUCGUUUCUUUGCUUCCAUAUGCUCCAAAAAUUCGUAAUAAACUUAGAUAUUUCAGACUCGAAAAGCUGUCUUAAAAUCUUAAAAAAUAGUAUUUGAAACUCAAGUUGUAUGCAAGGAGACAAC
rnacentral:lncRNA from 1 species